rnacentral:lncRNA from 1 species
GUGAUGAGUUUGGAGGUAGCAUUUACAAUCAUCCAUGGCUUUAUCGAGAAGGAAAAAAAAAAUCAUGGCCUUAACACAAAGGGUGCUGUGUAGAUAUGGAGUUCAUUUGGGAGACGACCUGAACACCAUACUGACGGACUAGCAGCCAGAUGCCUGCCUAGGAUGCUGACGGUUGUGAAGACUGUCCCCUGUGAUUGGAUCUUUGAAAGCUUCAGCGUGCCUUCUUAGUUUCUAGGAGCAUUAGUUCUCUUCUCACUCGGCCUUGCAGCUUAAAGGAGGAAUCUCUUCGUUUCUGUGACUACGCGCGCACAUUUCAGUCAUUCCUUUCCCACACGUGACCCUUCAAGAGGAAACAGAUUUGGAUGUAUAUGACAACCUCGGAGCCUUUGUGAAGAGAGUGAUUUCUGUGACUUUUGAAUAAAGCCAAGGUGAUAAGCAGUGAGCCCCACUUAUUGACAGUUUUAUACGCACUUGUACCUCAUUAGCAUCGCCUUCCUCGAGGAGUAGUUUUUAUGUCAUCCUUCUUUCCCAUCCCAGAGUCACCCUAAGGGAGAGUUCCUCUAAGUAAUCUCAGACAACUGUACACGCUUCUCCCACAAUGCUUUGGUGCUGUUACCUUGAGAUGGUUUAGGGAGUCAUGGAGGUUUUCUGCUGUGUAUGUUAUCAUCUGUUAAACUUCGAGGUGUUUUGGUUUUUUUUUUGGUUGUUGUUUUUUGGUUUUUUCAUUUAAAGCAACAUUCCUCAGUGUAACAGUACAGGUAUUCCUUGCUUGGUUCCUGGUGUGGCUCUUAACCUUUGUUUGUUUCCCUCACAUAUGAAAACAGACUUUUAAAACUGUCCAGCACUAAUAGUUUGAAAUUUUCCAUCUCCCAUAUGACACCUUGCUUUUCAUUUCUGCGCCCUUUUAGAGAAUGUUGGAAGUUAGGGAAUACCGCUUUUGUGGUUCAACUUUAUUUUCUUCUACAUUGGAAUAUAUUUCGGCCGUGAAAACUUGGGGAAGGAGGAGUUUGAAUGUGUAUUUUUCUUUUCCUACUGAAUGUAUUUUAACUACAGAGCCCUAAACUGAGAGAGAACAACAACAACAACAAAAAAUGCAUAUUCACAAACUUUGUGGUUGGGAGGGCAUUUGUCAGUCUGGGUGUGGGGGAAGGGAGAACUGCACAGGAAGUUCUGAAGUUUAAAAUACUUCUGACCAGCUUUGGCUCGGGAGGGUGGGGCUGUUUGUGGAACUGAAAGUGAAAACCCUUUUCAAGCAAUAGCAGAGAGUGGGUCCCAUGGACAAGGUUCCAGUCCCAGAACCUGGAACUCUUAAACAGAAGAAAAAGCUGAAGCGGCUUGAAGCAGCUUGAGCAGUUGCUUCUUGCUCCUGGCUUCAAGACAGAGCAUUGGAGACUUUCUCCCCUUAAAGACCUGCAUUUGCGCUUUGUGUGUUUUGUUUUUAUUUUAUUUGGGGGACCUCAUGGGAAAGGGCUUCUGCACUCCUUCCUUUGUGAACCCCACUGUGUUCUUGUAUCAUCGUCCUUCUCCUUUUACUAUGUUGUAAGUUACGGUUUUCAUUAGGCCCCAUCACAUCUUCUUUACUGUAAAAUUAUUAAAAGGCUGUUUCCAAGUGGGGCAGCUAAUGAAGUUCUAAUUAUUGCAGACAUAUUUUUGAGAUGUAAAACACUUUAAAGUGAAAUGAUAAGUCUCUUGGAGGCGAGUGAGGAAUAACAUGGAUGUAAACAUUUACAUGGGAUGCAUUCGGAUUCUGCUGUGUGUAUUGUCUUUUGGUUGAAACAAAUUAUGAACAGUGACUAAUAAUAAAAAGUCAAUACUCAAUGA